rnacentral:rRNA from 1 species
GAUGAACGCUGGCGGCGUGCCUAAUACAUGCAAGUCGAGCGAACAGACGAGGAGUUUGCUCCUCUGACGUUAGCGGCGGACGGGUGAGUAACACGUGGAUAACCUACCUAUAAGACUGGGAUAACUUCGGGAAACCGGAGCUAAUACCGGAGAAUAUAUUGAACCGCAUGGUUCAAUAGUGAAAGACGGUUUUGCUGUCACUUAUAGAUGGAUCCGCGCCGCAUUAGCGAGUUGGUAAGGUAACGGCUUACCAAGGCAACGAUGCGUAGACGACCUGUGAGGGUGAUCGGCCACACUGGAGCUGAGACGCGGUCCAGGCUCCUACGGGAGGCCGCAGUAGGGAAUGUGCCGCAAUGGGCGGAAGCAUGACAGAGCGACGCCGCGUGAGUGAUGAAGGUCUUCGGAUCGGAAAACUCUGUUAUUAGUGAAGAACAAAUGUGUAAGUAACUAUGCACGUCUUGACGGUACCUAAUCAGAAAGCCACGGCUAACUACGUG